rnacentral:rRNA from 1 species
AGCCCAGACUCCUACGGGAGGCAGCAGUGGGGAAUAUUGCACAAUGGGGGAAACCCUGAUGCAGCGACGCCGCGUGAGUGAAGAAGUAAUUCGUUAUGUAAAGCUCUAUCAGCAGGGAAGAAAAUGACGGUACCUGAGUAAGAAGCCCCGGCUAACUACGUGCCAGCAGCCGCGGUAAUACGUAGGGGGCAAGCGUUAUCCGGAUUCACUGGGUGUAAAGGGAGCGUAGACGGCGACGCAAGUCUGGAGUGAAAGCCCGGGGCCCAACCCCGGGACUGCUCUGGAAACUGCGUCGCUGGAGUACGGGAGGGGCAGGCGGAAUUCCUGGUGUAGCGGUGAAAUGCGUAGAUAUCAGGAGGAACACCGGUGGCGAAGGCGGCCUGCUGGACUGCGACUGACGUUGAGGCCCGAAAGCGUGGGGAGCAAACAGGAUUAGAUACCCGAGUAA